UACGGGGGGAGCGAGCGUUGUUCGGAAUUACUGGGCGUAAAGGGCGCGUAGGCGGAUUCGGAAGUCGAGCGUGAAAACUCCUGGCUCAACCAGGAGCCUGCGCCUGAAACUCCGGAUCUUGAGUACAGAAGAGGAGAGUGGAAUUCCUGGUGUAGCGGUGAAAUGCGUAGAUAUCAGGAAGAACAUCGGUGGCGAAGGCGGCUCUCUGGUCUGAUACUGACGCUGAGGCGCGAAAGCGUGGGGAGCAAACAGGAUUAGAUACCCUCGUA
rnacentral:rRNA from 1 species